CGCCUUUAAGAGGAAAUGUGGGCGGGGCUGCAGUGGGCGGGGCCGGAAGCAGGAACUGUGAGACAGGCCGCGGUGCUUGUGAGGAUGAGUCUGAAUGUGAAGACGAUUCUCGUCUCGUACCUGGAGAUCGACAUAAAGAAUCACAAAGAUGAAUUCUGGGAGGAGCUGAGCUGGUUUGCGAGGGAAGAGGGGAAGUUAGUGGCACAGAUGGGAAGGAAUGAUGGGGAUCUGGAAACUGAUGGAAACGUCCAAUUCAGAUCUACAGGCACAAUUGUGUAUGAAGGAGAAGCAGAAGUGGACGAGGAGCUGUGCCGCAGGAUUGCCACCCAGUUGGCAGAAAUGGGAGAUAAACUGGAGCGAGAGAUGAGGAUAAAACCAGAGGUAGUGAAUGGAAUAGUGGAUGCCCUGCUCAAUCACACCCUGAAUGAGGAGUAUUUGGCAGCCACAGUCCAGUCGCUGGUGCAGACGGCCCCCCCAGGGGUUGAGCAGGAGUUGAUGUCGGUGGCCAUAGCCCUGAUCCUGACCAAGAAAGCCGUGACCAACGUUCCCUCUCUGCUCCACAACAUCUGCUGCACCACCACGCACUUCAUAGAGAGGAACUACCGCGCUUGUUUAGAGCGUCUCGCUAGACAGUAUGUUCUAGAAUGACCAGAUAGUGGAGGCGAAAGCAGAGUUGGUCAGAAGAACGUCUCUAUGUUCCACCAUGAUGUCCUCCACUUCCUCUAUAAUCUCUGCAAUCUCCUCCACAUGGACAAUAUCAGAAUUGGAGGAGUUGUUCUCACUCCGCCCCCAUUGCUGUCCAAGCUCUUGACUUCUUCACGAUCCAUGGCCACCUGCUGUCAGGACUCGGGCCCAAGGGAAGUGGGCAAGCUCUCCGGAUGCCACGACAAGGAGACGGCCAAGCUCUCCGGGGGACUCACCUGCUCCGAGUUAUCACUGCCGAAAUUCCCCGCGUCUCGUCAGCUCGAGGAGAAGCCGAUGCAGCACCAGAGGGGCGAGAACCUGAAAGAGGGAGACGAUCCAAUCACACGGCAGCUCUAGAAACACCCAGGGGACCUUGUGAUACAACAGGGUUUUAUAACCAGGACAACUGAUAUCUGGGCAAUGAUUGGGCAAUUAUCAGUCCGGUUGGCUACUGGUAAGACCACUAAGUUGCCACUACUGAGCCGUGUACAGCAGUGCAGAUGCGCAGUCUGAAGGCAGGUAGUGAUGCCGAGUGAUUAGCAAUGACACACAGGCAGGGAGCCUCCUGGGCCUCAAGGCUUUCAAUCAAAUAAAGUUCAAUGGGAGAGAGAGGGAGAAACGUCAGCCCCAGAGGGAGAGGCUGAAGUCUUUGUGUCGGGAGAUACAGGUAAGAGAAUAUCUGCUCCUAUAAAUACAGCCCAUAGGUAUAGAUCUGUGAUGGUUGCUACAUGAAUGGGGGAAUUGACUGCAGACAAUUGGUUAGUUCAUCACAUGAGCAGAUAUUUGCUGUUCCAAAUCAGCCCAUCGGAUAGUUUGGUUCCUGGGCUGUAAAGUAGAUCUGGUGGCAGCAAUGUAAAUUUCUAAUCUGAUGGAUGUCGUUUGGGCAGGUCCCAUACACAGACCAACCUAAAUCCCACUGUCGCCCUCUCAGACUCCUGGCCCAGUGUGUUGGUGGCCAAAUGGUACAAUGUGUGCCCAGCUCAGGAGAAUGUACAGAUAUGGGACCUUUUAUCCAGAAUGCUUGUGACCUGGGGUUUCCAGAUUAGGGGUCUUUCUGUAAUUUGGAU